rnacentral:rRNA from 1 species
GAUAAACGUUUGCGGCGUGCCUGAUGCAUGCAAGUCGAACGAUUUGAUUUUUCGCAAGAUUUAUCAGAUAGUGGCGAACGGCUGAGUAACGCGUAAGUAACCUGCCCUUAAGUGGGGGAUAACUUGUCGAAAGACAGGCUAAUACCGCAUGUGCUAGUAAUCGACAGAUUAUUAGUAAAGCUUUUGCGCUUGAGGAGGGGCUUGCGUCUGAUUAGCUUGUUGGUAGGGUAAUGGCCUACCAAGGCGAUGAUCAGUAGCUGGUCUGAGAGGACAACCGGCCAGACGGGGACUUGGAUACGGCCCUGACUCCUACGGGAGGCAGCAGCAAGGAAUUUUGCGCAAUGGGCGAAAGCCUGACGCAGCAACGCCGCGUGAGGGAUGACGGCCUUCGGGUUGUAAACCUCUUUCAGCAGGGAAGAAGCGAAAGUGACGGUACCUGCAGAAGAAGCACCGGCUAACUACGUGCCAGCAGCCGCCGUAA